rnacentral:rRNA from 1 species
GGUAGCGUAAUCACUUGUCUUUUAAAUGAAGACCUGUAUGAAUGGCACCACGAGGGUUUAACUGUCUCCUUCCCCCAGUCAAUGAAAUUGAUCUGCCCGUGCAGAAGCGGACAUAAAAACAUAAGACGAGAAGACCCUAUGGAGCUUUAGGCUAAAGGCCCAAACACGUAAAGAAAUUUUUUAUGAACGAAAGCAAUAGACCGAAUUAAAACUUAGUGCAAUCAUGGCCACAUGCCUUCGGUUGGGGCGACCCCGAGGAAAAACAAAACCCCCGGAUGGAAUAGAGACAUAUCUCAAACCAAGAGGCACACCUCUAAGCAACAGAAAAUCUGACCAAACAUGACCCAGGAUAAAUUCAAACCUGAUCAUUGAACCAAGUUACCCUAGGGAUAACAGCGCAAUCCUUUCCCAGAGUCCCUAUCGACGAAGGGGUUUACGACCUCGAUGUUGGAUCAGGACAUCCUAAUGGUGUAGCCGCUAUUAAGGGUUCGUUUGUUCAACGAUUAACAGUCCUACGUGAUCUGA